CUCCUGACCUCAGGUGAUCUGCCCACCUCAGCCUCCCAAAAUUAUAGGCCUGAGCCACUGCGCCCGGCCACAUUUCCUCUUUCUCCUUCAGGAGUUUCACCAGGAUAGGCCUAGACAUCUGUCUUUUCAGAGAUCAGCGAUUUGUGCUGGGAUCAGCUUCUUUCUGCUCCAGCGUGGCGUUUCCUAUGCAGCUGCCAACAUUCAGCAGAUAUCUACCGAUGUCUCCCAGGGAAGAUGAGGAUCCGGCUUCCAGCUCUGCCCCACCCUCUCACACGUGCACAUUUCCUUCGUGCGCAUUUCCUACACUCGUUUUUCCUCUGCUCUCACUCAACAACAAUCAACACAGAAGACUUCUGUGACCAGAUGUGUGCGGAUCUCUCCCUGCUAACAAGCAAGCAAUCAAUUCUGCAGCGGACACCAGCUGGGUGUCCUCUAAUUCAGUUCACUUCUGAGACCAUCUGCCUGGAGACAGCAUCAGACCACGGGUUGAGGGCUCAGUCCCACAAGACUGCUCCCUCCCACUUCCAAUUCCGAUCGCAACCCCCAGUGGUUGUAUUACCUGUGCUACUGACUAACCGGCUAUAAAUUUGGGUUCCCAUGACUCACUCCUCAAGUUCAAUUAAAUUGCUAGAGCGGCUCACAGAGGCAGGAAACACUUAAGUUUACCAGUUUAAUUGUAAAGGAUAUCACAAUGGAUACAGAUGAAGAAACGCAUAGGGCAAGGUAUGGGGAAGGGACACUGAGCUUCCAUGCCCUUCCUGGGCACCCCACCCUCCUGGAACUUCCACAUGCUCCACUAUCCAGAAACUCCCCAAACUCUGUCUUCUUGGGCCUUCUAUGAAGGCUUCAUUGGAUAGGCACGAUUGACAACCAUGUAGAAAUGAGAUUAAACAAAAACGGUUUGACCAGGCACAGUGGCUCACACCUGUAAUCCCAGCACUUUGGGAGGCCAAGGCAGGUGGAUCACUUGAGGUCAGGAGUUUGAGACCAGACUG